AAAGGGUGCGUAGGCGGUUUAAUAAGUCGGCGUUAAAAUACUACAGCUUAACUGUAGAACUGGCACCGAUACUGUUAGACUUGAGUACAGUUGAGGCAGGCGGAAUUUAUGGUGUAGCGGUGAAAUGCAUAGAUACCAUAAAGAACACCGAUAGCGAAGGCAGCUUGCCAAGUUGUUACUGACGCUGAGGCACGAAAGCGUGGGGAGCAAACAGGAUUAGAUACCCUGGU
rnacentral:rRNA from 1 species